rnacentral:rRNA from 1 species
UUAUUGUGGUAAAAAUAUUUUUAAUAAUUAUUUAGAAAUGAAAUGUUAUUCGUUUUUAAAUAUAUCUAGUUUUUUUAGAAAAAAAUUUAAUUUUAAAUUUAUUUAUGGAAAAAAUUAAUUAAUUAAUUUUUUCUUAUUUAAAUUUUAUAUUUUAAGGGAUAAGCUUUAAAUUAAAUUUUUAUAAUAAAAUAUUUUAUUAUUUGAAAAUUUUAUAAUUUAUAUUGUUAAUAAAUUUUAUUUUAUUAUAAAUAANUUGCAAAUUAAUUAAAAUUUAAUUGAAAAUUUAAUUUUUUAUAAAAAUAUUAUUUUAAAUAAAAUAAAAAUAAAAAAUAAUGAUAAAAUUAGUAUAUUAUUAAAAUAAAUUAAUUAAAAUUUAAAUAUUAAAAUAAUUAAUUAAAAGUAAUUCGGCAAAUAUUGUAUAUUCACUUGUUUAACAAAAACAUGUCUUUUUGAAAUUAAUUUAAAGUCUAAUCUGCCCACUGAUAAAUAUAUUGAAGGGCUGCAGUAUUUUGACUGUACAAAGGUAGCAUAAUCAUUAGUCUCUUAAAUGGUGACUUGUAUGAAAGAUUGAAUGAAAUAUAUACUGUCUCUUAGUUAAUUUAUAGAAUUUAAUUUUUUAUUUAAAAAGUUAAAAUAAAUUAAAAAGACGAGAAGACCCUAUAGAGUUUAAUAUUAAAAUUUAUUAUUUAAUUGUUUAUAAUAUUUAAAAUUUUUAUAAAUUUGAAUAUUUUAUUGGGGUGAUAAAAAAACAAAUUAAACUUUUUUUAAAUUUAAACAUAAAUAAAUGAAUAAAUGAUCCAUUUUUAUUGAUUAUAAGAUUAAAUUACCUUAGGGAUAACAGCGUAAUAUUUUUUUUUAGUUCAAAUAAGAAAAAAAGUUUGCGACCUCGAUGUUGGAUUAAGAUAAAAUU